CGCCGGGAUGGGCUGUGGCAGUACCGCGGUCUGCGGUGCCCACCGGGUCACCGGGACCGUUGCCGGCGUCGGUUCCCGACCGACCCCGACGGC
rnacentral:tRNA from 1 species